rnacentral:rRNA from 1 species
AUAGUUUACUAUUUUGGUGGCGACCGGCGCACGGGUGAGUAACGCGUAUGUAACCUACCUUAUACAGGAGUAUAGCCCGAAGAAAUUCGGAUUAAUCCUCCAUAGUAUUUUCUAAUGGCAUCAUUUGGAAAAUUAAAGCUUCGGCGGUAUAAGAUGGGCAUGCGUCCUAUUAGCUAGAUGGUAAGGUAAUGGCUUACCAUGGCUACGAUAGGUAGGGGGCCUGAGAGGGUGAUCCCCCACACUGGUACUGAGACACGGACCAGACUCCUACGGGAGGCAGCAGUGAGGAAUAUUGGUCAAUGGGCGCAAGCCUGAACCAGCCAUGCCGCGUGCAGGAAGAAUGCCCUAUGGGUUGUAAACUGCUUUUAUUUAGGAAUAAACCCCUCUACGUGUAGAGGGCUGAAUGUACUAAACGAAUAAGCACCGGCUAACUCCGUGCCAGCAGCCGCGGUAAUACGGAGGGUGCAAGCGUUAUCCGGAAUCAUUGGGUUUAAAGGGUCCGCAGGCGGACGUAUAAGUCAGUGGU